CCCGGCCGCCGAGCAGCUCUUUGAACGCCUGGGGUGUCAACAUCCGCGGUUAAGGGGCCCCGGUCCUUAUGCCAGUCAGUGCAUAGAAAGCCCGAGAAGGGGAACUUGAGGGCGGAAAGAUAAGAUUUUAAUCUCUAUGCUGCAACUGAGGCUCAAACAAAUGACAGAGCCAAAGUUCCAAAGGCCAGGACUGUGCCUACUACACUCCAGGAUAUCUACCAAUCCCUUCUGCAUGCAAAGUCUCUGUUGAGAAAUCAGCUGAUGGGCUUAUGGGACCUGCAGGAGCAGCUAAAGAUGCAACAGAAGAAUCGAUAAUAGAAGAUGACAAGAGGAGAAACUACGGAGGAG